UACGAAGGGGGCUAGCGUUGUUCGGAAUUACUGGGCGUAAAGGGCGCGUAGGCGGCCUUCUGAGUCGAACGUGAAAUCCCCGGGCUCAACCCGGGAACUGCGUCCGAUACUGGAAGGCUUGAAUCCGGGAGAGGGAUGCGGAAUUCCAGGUGUAGCGGUGAAAUGCGUAGAUAUCUGGAGGAACACCGGUGGCGAAGGCGGCAUCCUGGACCGGCAUUGACGCUGAGGCGCGAAAGCCAGGGGAGCAAACGGG
rnacentral:rRNA from 1 species